GAAAAAGUAUGCAAGAACUGCUAAUUCUGUGCCCCAUGCCUAAUAACAUGGCUUUUUCA
rnacentral:tRNA from 1 species